CUGGAGUCUAAGCUCUACACUAGCAGUCAGGUUUUGAAAGUUACUCACUACAGCCUUUUCUGGAGUACACAUUUCACACUCACCAGAGCUGAAUUUUCAAUAGUCAAUGGCUACUGAAGAAAUUUUAGCCCUUGACUCCGGGAUCAACAGAAGGGGGCCUAAUAUACUAAUUUACUUUUUCUACUCCAUGUUCAAGGAAGUACGAACUUCCACUUCCGAUGCAAAGGGUUAAAGCAUAAAAC